AGGACGAACGCUGGCGGCGCGCUUAACACAUGCAAGUCGAGCGAGAACCAGGCUUUCGGGCCUGGGGAAAGCGGCGAACGGGUGAGUAACACGUGGGCAACCCACCCUUGGUACCGGGAUAGCCCGGGGAAACUCGGAUUAAUACCGGAUGGCCCAACAGCUCUUAGGGGCGGUUGGAAAAGGUGCUUCGGCCUCCGACCAAGGACGGGCCCGCGGCGGAUUAGCUUGUUGGUGGGGUAACGGCCUACCAAGGCGACGAUCUGUAGCUGGUCUGAGAGGACGAUCAGCCACACUGGGACUGAGACACGGCCCAGACUCCUACGGGAGGCAGCAGUGGGGAAUCUUGCGCAAUGCGCGAAAGCGUGACGCAGCAACGCCGCGUGGGGGAAGAAGGCUUUCGGGUGUAAACCCCUUUCAGUUGGGACGAAGCUUCUCCGGUGAAUAGCCGGAUGGAGUGACGGUACCUUCACAAGAAGCACCGGCUAACUACGUGCCAGCAGCCGC
rnacentral:rRNA from 1 species